CCUACGGGGGGCUGCAGUGGGGAAUAUUGGACAAUGGGGGCAACCCUGAUCCAGCCAUGCCGCGUGUGUGAAGAAGGCCCUCGGGUUGUAAAGCACUUUCAGUGAGGAAGAACGCCUGGUGGUUAAUACCCAUCAGGAAAGACAUCACUCACAGAAGAAGCACCGGCUAACUCCGUGCCAGCAGCCGCGGUAAUACGGAGGGUGCGAGCGUUAAUCGGAAUUACUGGGCGUAAAGCGCGCGUAGGUGGCUUGAUAAGCCGGUUGUGAAAGCCCCGGGCUCAAACUGGGAACGGCAUCCGGAACUGUCAAGCUAGAGUGCAGGAGAGGAAGGUAGAAUUCCCGGUGUAGCGGUGAAAUGCGUAGAGAUCGGGAGGAAUACCAGUGGCGAAGGCGGCCUUCUGGACUGACACUGACACUGAGGUGCGAAAGCGUGGGUAGCAAACAGGAUUAGAUACCCGAGUAGUC
rnacentral:rRNA from 1 species